GACGAACGCUGGCGGCGUGCUUAACACAUGCAAGUCGAACGGAAAGGCCCUGCUUUUGUGGGGUGCUCGAGUGGCGAACGGGGGAGUAACACGUGAGUAACCUGCCCUUGACUUUGGGAUAACUUCAGGAAACUGGGGCUAAUACCGGAUAGGAGCUCCUGCUGCAUGGUGGGGGUUGGAAAGUUUCGGCGGUUGGGGAUGGACUCGCGGCUUAUCAGCUUGUUGGUGGGGUAGUGGCUUACCAAGGCUUUGACGGGUAGCCGGCCUGAGAGGGUGACCGGCCACAUUGGGACUGAGAUACGGCCCAGACUCCUACGGGAGGCAGCAGUGGGGAAUAUUGCACAAUGGGCGGAAGCCUGAUGCAGCAACGCCGCGUGCGGGAUGACGGCCUUCGGGUUGUAAACCGCUUUCGCCUGUGACGAAGCGUGAGUGACGGUAAUGGGUAAAGAAGCACCGGCUAACUACGUGCCAGCAGCCGCGGUGAUACGUAGGGUGCGAGCGUUGUCCGGAUUUAUUGGGCGUAAAGGGCUCGUAGGUGGUUGAUCGCGUCGGAAGUGUAAUCUUGGGGCUUAACCCUGAGCGUGCUUUCGAUACGGGUUGACUUGAGGAAGGUAGGGGAGAAUGGAAUUCCUGGUGGAGCGGUGGAAUGCGCAGAUAUCAGGAGGAACACCAGUGGCGAAGGCGGUUCUCUGGGCCUUUCCUGACGCUGAGGAGCGAAAGCGUGGGGAGCGAACAGGCUUAGAUACCCUGGUAGUCCACGCUGUAAACGGUGGGUACUAGGUGUGGGGUCCAUUCCACGGGUUCCGUGCCGUAGCUAACGCUUUAAGUACCCCGCCUGGGGAGUACGGCCGCAAGGCUAAAACUCAAAGGAAUUGACGGGGCCCCGCACAAGCGGCGGAGCAUGCGGAUUAAUUCGAUGCAACGCGUAGAACCUUACCUGGGUUUGACAUGGAUCGGGAGUGCUCAGAGAUGGGUGUGCCUCUUUUGGGGUCGGUUCACAGGUGGUGCAUGGCUGUCGUCAGCUCGUGUCGUGAGAUGUUGGGUUAAGUCCCGCAACGAGCGCAACCCUUGUUCACUGUUGCCAGCACGUUAUGGUGGGGACUCAGUGGAGACCGCCGGGGUCAACUCGGAGGAAGGUGGGGAUGACGUCAAGUCAUCAUGCCCCUUAUGUCCAGGGCUUCACGCAUGCUACAAUGGCUGGUACAGAGAGUGGCGAGCCUGUGAGGGUGAGCGAAUCUCGGAAAGCCGGUCUCAGUUCGGAUUGGGGUCUGCAACUCGACCUCAUGAAGUCGGAGUCGCUAGUAAUCGCAGAUCAGCAACGCUGCGGUGAAUACGUUCCCGGGGCU
rnacentral:rRNA from 1 species